rnacentral:rRNA from 2 species
UACGGAGGGUGCAAGCGUUGCUCGGAAUUAUUGGGCGUAAAGGGUAGGUAGGUGGUCUCAUUUGUCUGGGGUGAAAUCCUUGAGCUUAACUCAAGAAGUGCCUCAGAAACGGUGAGACUAGAGUUCUGGAGAGGGUCGUGGAAUUCCCGGUGUAGCGGUGAAAUGCGUAGAGAUCGGGAGGAACACCAGAGGCGAAGGCGGCGACCUGGACAGAUACUGACACUAAACUACGAAAGCGUGGGGAGCAAACAGG